rnacentral:rRNA from 1 species
GAUGAACGCUGGCGGCGUGCCUAAUACAUGCAAGUCGAGCGAACAGACGAGGAGCUUGCUCCUCUGACGUUAGCGGCGGACGGGUGAGUAACACGUGGAUAACCUACCUAUAAGACUGGGAUAACUUCGGGAAACCGGAGCUAAUACCGGAUAAUAUAUUGAACCGCAUGGUUCAAUAGUGAAAGACGGUUUUGCUGUCACUUAUAGAUGGAUCCGCGCCGCAUUAGUUAGUUGGUAAGGUAACGGCUUACCAAGGCAACGAUGCGUAGCCGACCUGAGAGGGUGAUCGGCCACACUGGAACUGAGACACGGUCCAGACUCCUACGGGAGGCAGCAGUAGGGAAUCUUCCGCAAUGGGCGAAAGCCUGACGGAGCAACGCCGCGUGAGUGAUGAAGGUCUUCGGAUCGUAAAACUCUGUUAUUAGGGAAGAACAAAUGUGUAAGUAACUAUGCACGUCUUGACGGUACCUAAUCAGAAAGCCACGGCUAACUACGUG